UGAGAGCUGUCUCACUCCACCCUUGGGCCCCCAGAGGUGGACAGUGAGUGCAGUGAGUGGCUUUAAGUGCUUGAGACUUUGGGGGUAAGCAAUUUGGGGAGGCUUUCUGGCUGAGGUGGGUCAGUUGGAAUCAGUAAAGAAGAAAUAAGAUUCGUGGGAAGGGAGAAAAUUGGGUGAGUGUUUCUGGAGGUUGUGUGGGAAGUAUCUAGGGAGGCUUGCUUGUUAGGCAUUUGCUGCCUUUCACCCUUUCCGGGUAACGUUGGGUACUGUGGCCACCAGGUGGCGCUGCAGGACACCUUUGCCUCCCACUGGCCUGGAGGGCCAGGGCUCAAGUCUGACUCCUUUGGCUCCGCUGCGCUGCUCCGUGCUCAACUCAGCAGAACUCAGGCUCCAGCGGGCCCUCCGUUCUUUUUGGCAUGGCAUCUCACACGUGGAAGACAGGAAGUCUUGGUACCAGUCUAUUCCAGAUUCAGAAUGGAAACCCAAAAUAGAGCCCCCCCCCCCCACACCCACUACACAACAGCUUACUCUGCCUUCCUGUCUUGUGCCUUCCUGAGUUCCUUGGAGAUACCGUUUAGGGGAAUUGUUAAGGAUACAAGCAUUGAGUCCAACCGGCUGGGUCUGCAUGGAAACAACAAUUACCUAACAAAGGUUUUAAAAUUUUCACCCAGUGAUUGUUGAUUGUAGAUUUGUUGUGUGCAUUGUUCUAGGCUCUGGGGUGAAGCCAGUGUUCUAUUGGGGUAGGGGAGCAUGAAUAAGUUGGUGGUGUCCUUGAGGUCAGUGACAGUCAUGAUGAAAAAAAUAAAGCAGAGGAUGGAGGCAGAAGGAGUUGGUGUUUGGCUUUUGUUUUUUGUUUUGUUUUGUUUUGUUUUUUUGUGGUGCGGGGGAGCUCCUUGUUUUAGGGACAGCCUUUACUGUGUAGUCCUGGCUAGCCUGGAACUCACUAUGUAGACUAAACAGGCUGGCCCGCUCAGAUUUGCCUGUUCCCACCUCCUGAGGGCUGCUGGGAUUAGAGACCAAUGCCACCACGCCAGGCUCUUUUUGUUUUAUUUUGAGAAGUUCUCUUGUGACUCCAUUCUUGGCCUUGAGCUUGCUGUAUUGCUAGAGUGGACAUCAAACUCCUGGGCUUCCGGUCCUGGGCUCCCGAAUGCUGAGAUUGCUGGUGUGUCCCCCCACACCUGCCUGAGGAAAGAUGGUCUCUGGGGCAUUUCUCUGGGAGCCUGGAAAGCAGCAGGGUGGCUGCCUCUGAGGUUGCUGGUGUGCUAUUAGCUUGUUUCUCCUUUUUGCACUUAACUUCCCAACAGUCUCCUUUCUGUGUCUGAAAUCCUUGACCCUUCUCUCAGCAGCCCUACAGAGUAGCAGGCACUGACUUAGGACCUAAGAACCCUGACUUUUUAACUGUGGCUCUGUCUCCAAUGGUUCCCUACCCCCAGCUUCCCUUAAAUGACAUCACCACCCACCUGGUUGCUCAGGCCUGAAAAGGGAGCCAUCUGGGACUUCUGCCUUUCCUGUGUGGUGCGAGUCAACAAGGCCUAUCCAUUAAACCCUAGAUAUUCCCUGUCUGGCCGGAGGGAUGGCUCUGGGUAAGAGGACUGGCUAUUCUUCCAAAAGAGCUGGGUUCAGUUCCCAGCACCCAGAUGCUGGCUCACUCGCUUCGGUUUUGGAGGAUCCAGCACCCUCUUCUGGUCUCUGUGGACAUAAGGCACACAUGUCGCACAGACAUACAUCCAGGCCAAACAAACAUUUAAAGUUGGAAAAAAAAAAUUCUGCCAGGCAUGGUAGCGUACCAACCUGUGAUCCCAGCAUUUGGCCAGUGGAGGCAGGAGGAUCAGGAGUUGCAUCUUUAUACCAAACUUGAAAACAGCGUGGGCUACAUGAGACCCUGUCAAAAUAUUUUUUUAAAAAACGCUAAAGUGCUGCUUGAAUGCUCCCUGUCACCGUUUAUCUGGCGCCCUCUCAUGUGGUUAGAAUGUCCUCUGUGGCCUGGUCCCUGUCCACGGGUCCAGCUGGACCACCUGUUCCUGCCCUCCUCACUGGCCACCCUUUGCUUGGACAAUGCCUGUUCGUUUUGCAGGGCAGAACUUGACCUGGAUGGCACCUCUCCAGAAACCUCCUGUCUCUUUUGGGUGUCCUUUAUCAUUUUGCCACAGUAUACAGUGACUGCUUCCGUUUGUGACCCCAGGGUGCUUUAAAACUCCUUGAAGACCAGGAUCAGGUCUAGUGCACUCCUGCAUUCCCAGCAUCUGGCCUCUGCUCUGGAAUGACCUGACCAGGUGUAGGUGCUCUGGUACCUCAUGUUCUCAUGAAAGCUGUCUCGGGACACCCGGGUGUCUCUAAAGUCCGGCACACAGCAGGUGCUGCUAACACAUGUGCUGAGUCAACGAAGAAAAGAAGAAAAAAUGAUCAUGUGAUUCUGAACAAGUCACUCUAUCCUUUGGCUGUGUACACACGUGUGCGUGUGGGUGUGCAUUCAAGUUCACGUAUGCACAACAUGAGAGCCAGAAGACACCCAGUGUCCUGCUCCAGGACUCCCUUAUUUCCCUGAGACGGGUUCUCCCUGGCCCUGAGCCUAGCACGGGCAGCCAGCGCACGCCCAUGAUCCUCCUGUUUCUGCUCGCACAGCACUGGAGUUAAAGGCAGCAUGCUUUUAACAUGUGCUGGAGGGGUUGGGGAUUUAGCUCAGCGGUAGAGCGCUUGCCUAGCAAGUGCAAGGCCCUGGGUUCGGUCCCCAGCUCCGAAAAAAAAGAAAAGAAAAAAAAAAAAGAAUUUAAAAUUAACAUGUGCUGGAAAUCCGAACUUGGUUCCUCAAGUUUGAGCAGGGAGCUCUUUGUUGUGGAGAUGGCCUCACUGCAUAACUGUGACUGGCCAGGAGGCCCUGGACCUUAGUUUUCUGUGAAAUGAAGUCAAGAGGAAUGUGAGACACCCCCUGGUGCUCUGGAGUAUGGUAUUCUGACAAGUGUUUAGCAACCAGGAAGGAAAAGAACCCUGCUUUGUAGCCAUUGCCAGUUCCCAAGAUAAAUCCUCUCCCUGUGACUCGACUACAGAGUGAGCAUUGGGCUGUCACUAGCACGAACAAGCCAUGAGUCUUGAGCUCAACACUUCGGGCAAUGGGGCUCCAGCUGGAGACAGACUCUGGGUGAUUUCUAGGCUCUGUGUUAUUCUCUAGUCCCAGGGCUGCAGUUUCCCUGGGAGCCCAAGGGUAAGAUGUCAGGAGGUUUCCUGUUCACAGUUCCAGAAGUCGGAGAAGCUGUUGGAUGCCUCUGUGGCUUGUACCUUCAAGCCACUUGUACGCUCGUCCAGGUAGUUGACUGUACAUGUCUCUGGCAGCAUUCACAGACUGCUUGAAGCCUGUUGGUUGGCUCAAGUCCUGACGUUCAAAGCUAGGCAUGCGGAUAUUGAGUAACAACUUGGGAUUCUGUGUUCUGUAGCCUACCUGACUAUCCUGGUAAGUAAGUUUGACUCCUUUGACCUCUGAUCCUGCUGGUGUCAGUCAGCUGACCUUCAGAAUGCCUCAUCCCGUCCCUAAGCUUUCUUCCUCACCUACCCUUCCUCUGUCCACGCAGUCCACCUUUCCUUUCCUUCUCCCUCUCUGCCAGGCUGUCCAAGUGGACACUUACAGAUUGGAGGAUACUGUUCAUUACUGAUGAACUCUGCCCUGCAUCUCCGAGACUGAGUUCCUUUUCUACUGAGUGAAAGUAAUGAUAGCAGUUACUAUAGGGGCUUUUUCCUCUCUCUUUUUUUAUGCCCUUCUUCUUUUUUUUUUUUUUUUUUUUUCUGCUUCUUUUUUUCCGGAGCUGGGGACUGAACCCAGGGCCUUGCGCUUCCUAGGCAAGCGCUCUACCACUGAGCUAAAUCCCCAACCCCCUCUCUCUUUUUUUAAAGAUUUAUUUAUCUAUUAUAUAUGAGUACAUUGGAGCUGUCCUCAGACACACCAGAAGAGGGCAUCUGAUCCCAUUACAGAUGGUUGUGAGCCACCAUGUUGUUGCUGGGAAUGGAACUCAGGACCUCUGGAAGGGCAGUCAGUGCUCUUAACCGCUGAGCCAUCUCUCUCCAGCCCACAGUGGGGGAUUUUUGUGGCCAUUGAGAAGUGGCAUGCAAAGUACUGAUGGCAUUGAGUACCCAGAAAGUGCUUAUUAAGUGAGGCACGGUGGCACACGCCUUUGAUCCCAGCACUCAGGAGGCAGAGGCAGGCAGAUCUCUGUGUGGUCCAGGGCAGUCUGGUCUGCAUGGUGAGUUCCGGGACAAAUAGGCUAUGGCAAGACCUUGACUCAAAGAAAAGAAAAAAGGGGGCUGGGGACUUAGCUCAGUGGUAGAGCGCUUACCUAGGAAGCGCAAGGCCCUGGGUUCGGUCCCCAGCUCCGAAAAAAAGAACCAAAAAAAAAAAAAAAAAGAAAAGAAAAGAAAAGAAAAAAGAAAAAAAGAAAGUGCCUAAUAAAUGUUGGUGUUUGGUUUGUGUUUGUCGAGACUGGGUCUUACUCUGUAGCCCAGGCUGGCCUCAAACUCACAGUGAUCCUUCUGCUUCAACACUGGGACUACAGCCAUGAGCUGACGGGCCUGGCUAUGUUAUUUAAAGAUUUUUUCAUUCAUUCAUUCAUUCAUUCAUUCAUUCGUGUGUGUGUGUGUGUGUGUGUGUGUGUGUGUGAGAGAGAGAGAGAGAGAGAGAGAGAGAGAGAGAGAGAGAGAGAGAGAUGAUAAGCAAACAACCUGUGGGAAUCCCAGAGUCUUCAGGUUUGGAGCCUUUAUUUGACCAGCCAUCUUGUUGGUCCUGUGUUUGCUAUUAUUCAAACCUGAGUUUAGUCCCUCAAUAGUCAAGGGGCUGGGUCUCUGCCCUCCCUUCUCUCAUCCCCUUAGCAAGAGUUCCCCACUUCUUCAAGGAGGAUGCUCACUGUUCUGUGAAUGAAUGGACGGAUGAACCAACUGGGGGGUGACUCCAUGAGACCAGCUAAGAAGGUGGCGCUUCUCCACCCCUGCCAGCAGGUGGCGCCAGCUUCUGUCAGUCUGUUUCCCCGGCCAACUCCCUUAAGCUGUGUUUCCCAUACUUUGGGUUCCCAGCUUGCUCUGGAAAGAUGGGGUCCUGAGAUCAGCAACGGGGUGCCCAAGAGAUUGGGUGCUGCUGGAGAAAAAUGUCAUCCUGGGGAGUAAAGGACACAGACAGACCUUGAGAGACCCAAAGAGAAUCGCUGGCUCUCUUGGGGACGUGAAAUGAGAGGCACUUUAAGUCAAUCUGUGAGUCAAAAGCUGAGAUCUAGGAAACAGACACUUUGUGGGAGAUGAUGCGGUGAAAUCAAUCACUGAAAGAGGAAAGGGGAGGCCCCGUUUCCAUGGCAGCAGUAUUGUUUGUGGCAUGUGGGGGACUCCUGAGUCUCUAGUGACCGUGCACAGUGACUCACCACAGGAAAGGAAGGCUGUAAAGGGACCUAGUGCUGGGGACCGGAUACCUGUGGCUCCUGCCCUUUUCCCCACCCUGGUCCCAGGCCUGUUACUAGGGAAGGAACUGAAGGUUGGAGGAACUAAGGCAGGGCAGAGACAAAAGGCUCCGCACUCCACGCCCACGGUUCACUACCUUUUAGAGUUACUGUCCUUAGUCAGGCACGCUAAUGAGUACUUUUGAUCCCAGCACUCGGGAGGCAGAGGCAGGUGUUAUCUCUGAGUUUGAGGCCAUCCUGGUCUACAGAGCGAGUUCAAGGACAGCCAGGGCUGUCUUGAAAUCCCUAAUUAAUUAACUAAUUAAUUAAAAAAUAAGAUUACUGUCUUACUGGACAGGAGAGAAAACUGUCACCCUAGCCAUACUGCACAGUGAGGGUAAGGAUUAGAGCAGGACAUUGUUCCAAAGAAAGCAGACAAGGGGCUUGGCUGCUGAGAGGAUGGCCAAGAGCUGGAAGGACACAGGGAGGGAUGCCACAGCUCUCAGCCCCACUUGCAGGGUCCCUUUGGAGAACCCCAUUUGACACACCUACAAAAUAAGAGAACCAAUCUGGAAAUUGUUUAAAAAACGUAGGAGCUUGGUGGUGGCGGCAGACACCUUUAACUCCAGCACUUAGGAGGCAGAAGCAGAAGGAUCUUUGUGAGUUUGAGGCCAAAGUGGUCUACAGAAUGAGUUCCAAGACAACCAGGGCUACACACAGAAACCCUGUCUUGAAAAACAAACUAGAGGCUGGAGAGGUGGCUCAGUGGUUAAGAGCACUGACUGCUCUUCCUAGAGGUCCUGAGUUCAAAUCCCAGCAACCACAUGGUGGCUCACAACCAUCUGUAAUGAAGUCUGAUGCCCUCUUCUGGUGUGUCUGAAGAGAGCUACAGUGUACACAUGUAAAUACAGUAAAUAAAUCUUUAUAAAUGAAUAAAUAAUACAAGGGGCUGCAGAGAUGGCACAUGUGGUACACAUGUAAAUGUAGGCAAACAUACAUACAGGAGAUGUACUGAACAAACUGUUACUAACAUCACAUUAAAAUAAAUAAAUAAAGGGGCCGGAGUGGUUAAGAGCACUGAAGCUCUUCCAAAAGACGCAGGUUUAUUUCCCAACGCCCACAAGGCUUGAUGGCUUACAACAUGUGUAACUCACACAGGUAGCACAGGCAUGAGUAGACAAGACACCAAUCCACCUUAAAACAAAAAAGGGGCUUAGAGGGUAAAGGCACUUGCCAGGGAUGGAUGCCUGAGUCCCAGCCCUAAACACCACAUAAAGUUGGAAGGAGAAAGCCAAGUGUGCGUAGAGUUGUCCUCUGGCUUACACAGGAGCAUCUUGAUGGAGGCCAACGUCUGAGCCUGGUGUAGGCUAGAAACUGCUGUAAGCCCCCUUUUUCCAUCCAAGACAGCAAACCUCAAUUCUGCUCCAUCCAAAAUCCUCUACAGACUGUAAGGGAGAGGGGCCAUCCUAUUGCAAGCCUACCAGCCUCCCAGCCCUCAUCAAGACCAGAGGAUUCCCAGGCUCUCCGAGUUGUUAUCAGAAUAGUUUCAUUCUUGGUCAGCAGUAGAGGCCUCAUUGUUUCGGAACAAAAGGGGUAUCCCCAUCCUACCCCAGGUCAUGAAGGAGAGAAGGCUAGCCCCUCAGUCUCUCUUCCCCUGCAGGAGAACUGAUGCUGGUCAGACGAGCCUUAGACAUAUUUCAGCUGGGAGACAGUGUUGCAUUAGCUCCUGGGUUUGCUUUGUGGCUUGGAGGGACACAUACCUCAGGCAUGUGUGCAGGUCAGAGCAGUCUGCAGAAGUCAUUUCUCUCCUUCCACCAUGUGGAUCCCAGGGAUCCAAGUCAGACUGUAAGGUUUGGCAGCUAGUUCCUUAACCUGCUGAGCUAUCUCUCUGCCUUCCUUGUAUUUGUGUGUGUGUGUGUGUGUGUGUGUGUGUGUGUGUCUGUCUGUCUGUCUGUCUUAAUUAGGGUUUACUGCUGUGAACAAACACCAUGACCAAGGCAAGUCUUAUAAAGGACAACAUUUAAUCGGGGCUGGCUUAUAGGUUCAGAGGUUCAGUCCAUGAUCAUCAAGGCAGGGGCAUGGCAGCAUCCAGCCAGGCAGACAUGUUGCAGGAGUAGCUGAGAGCUCUACAUCUUCAUCUGAAGGGCGCUAGUAGAAGACUGACUUCUAGGCAUCUAGGGUGAGGGUCUUAAGCCCAUGCCCACAGCAACACUCCUACUCCCACAAGGCCACACCCCCUAAUACUGCCACUCCCUGGGCCAAGCAUGUGUGUGAGUGUGAGUAUGAGUCCUCUUGCCUCAGCCUCCUGAGUGCUGGGAUUAGAGGCAUGAGCCUGGUUUAAAUUUUUGUUUCAGGCUGGAGAGAUGUCUCAGUGGAUAAGAGCACUGACUGUUCUCCCAGAGGUCCUGAGUUCAAUUCCCAGCACCCACAGGGUGGCUCACAACCAUCUGUAAUGGGAUCUGAUGCCCUCUUCUGGUGUGUCUGAAGACAGUGACAGUAUAUUCAUACAUAAGAUAAAUAAAUAAACAUUUUUUAAAAAAGCAUUUAACCAUAAAAAAAUUGUUUCAUGUUUUCAUCAUUGUGUGUUAGUACAUGAUAAGGGGGUAUGAUGGGGUGCAUGCUCCAGUGCAUGUGUGGAUGCCAGAGGACAGCUCUGUGCAGUUGCCUUUCCCCUUCCUUCACCUGGGUUCUGGUUGGAUCUCAGGAUAUCAGUCCUACCUGACAAGUGACUUCAUCCACUAAGCCCAUCUCAUUGGUUCCUUGUUUACGGGCUCCCUGUGUAACCCUGGGUGUCUACUAGGUAGACUAGGUAGGCUGGCCUCAAACUUGCAGCAAUCGCUCUGCUUCAGCCUCUGAAAUGUUUGGUAUUGGUUGUUUUUGUGUUUGUUUAAUGGCAACUGGGGCCUAAAAAGACAGAACAAAAUGUCAAGGUCAUAGAGCAUUAUGGGAAAAUGAACUGGAUUCUUAAUGGGAGCAAGAUGGAUGGGAGCAAGUACUUGAAAGCUCGAGGGGACUGGCUGUCAUGGAGAGCAGGUCUCCCCUAGUCGAACCAGGAGACUCCUUUCAUGGAUUCAAAGGUGAACCUAGUGUCCCUAUAGAGUGCUAAAUGUGUGUGAACUUCACCGUGCUCUUCAUAAGCUGUCCUCCCUGGAGAUGGGCAGGAGGUGGGUGGCAGAUUCCUGCCGGGGUGUCCUGGGGCUGUGGAAAUAAGCUCUAAUUAAUACUGGCUUCCAUAAUUGGGCUUAAUGGACUUCUUGUGAUGGGAAAUUAGGAGGCUACAUCAAUUAGCAGCGGGAGGUGACAGUUCAGCCCCCCUCCCCUGGAUGGGGCCUUUAGGAAGGCAGAGAGGUAGGCAGAAGCAGGCUCCCAGGGAAGGUAGUCUCACUGCCCAGUCCCUCCAGUGCCACCCUGGAGCUGGAGCUUCUCCUGGACUGACUGCCCUUUGCUCUCUACCCCCACUUACUCAAUCACAUUCACUCUGACUUGACUGCUCAGAGGAGCCCAGGCCCUGGUCUGGUUCCACCUCUGCUCUCUUGAGUUGGAUAGCUAUGGGGUGAAGGUUGAGAAUGAGGUUUGAAGUCCAGGCCCAUUGAUUGUGUGAUACCGAGCCUAACUGUGCUUCCUUUUCUCACCUUCUGGGUAGGUGCCUAAGUGAACAUGCAGCAUUUACAACAGUGCCUGGCAGAGGGAAAGUUCUGGAACUGGGUUGUUAACAAUUCACCCUCCACCUUUUCAUUUUAGAAUGAUAGGUAAGAGUGUUGCGUACUAAAAAGUCCUCCAGCCUCACAUUAAUUACUGAACCAAAAUAUACAAGCUCUUGGCCAUUGGAGGGUGUGUGUGUGUGUGUGUGUGUGUGUGUGUGUGUGUGUGUGCGCGCCUGUGCGUGUGCGUGUGCGUGUGCUGUGAGGGAUGUUAUGAGCAUGGUAAACAUGAACUUUACACCAAGCUUUGCACUGGUGGCUUGAAAACCUCCUCCUCCCAGAGACAGACUCUCAUGUUGGCCUCUAUGGAGCUGAAGAUGACCUUGAACUGCUAAUCUUCCCUUACUCCAUGAGUGCUGGGGUUACAGUCAUGUACUACCACAAAAAGUUUAUUUGGUGCCAGGAGUUGAAGUCGGGGUUUUAUCACUCUGUCACUCUAUCAACUGAAUUUUAUCCCCACACCCGACUCCUUUCAGGCAACUGUGAUGAUCAGUGAGGUUGAAAACAUGGGAUGGUCUAGAAGGAUCCCCAAGCCUGGCACAACUCCUCUCUGCCCUGGACCAUGAAGGACUCUCUUGCCUACAGUCUGGACAAGAGUUCAUCAUCACCUGCUUUCCCAGAAGCAGGUCCUUCUCCACUCACCCAGAGUCCUCUAUAAAAUGAGAGCACUCCCUGUGUUGUGCUCACUUCCCAAGGCUGCCCUGAGAUGAUGUUUUACCAGCAAUGGGACUUGCUAUAAAAGCAGGCAAUUAUAUUGCUCAUUCCCUGGAUAAACAUUUGCUAAAGGCCUAGCAGUAUAUCCUAUCUCCCUUGCCCACGGUGACUAUGGACUUAUAAUGGUGGUGUGUGCCUACAGAACACAGUCCUGAGUCAUCAGACAAGACAGGGUCCUGAGCCAACCUCUGGUUUGAUUUGGAUUUUGGCUCCUCCUGAGGAUUGGAAGCAGCUAGAACAAGCCCUGACACAGAAGUGCUUCUUGUUGCUCUUGUGAGCACACCUGGACUGGGUGUGGAGGGAAGCUCAGGUGGGGUGUACGUACAGGGCUCCAGAGGGGGACAGCAGUGGAGGCAGACAAGGUGAGGGUGACGCUAAAAGGUGAAGAGCAGGGUGUGUGGCAGGAGGGGGAGACGCUGACACAUUGAAGGGACACAUUGAGGGGACUGUUUCCUGAAGAUGCUGAGUUUAGAUAUGUUGGGGGUCUCUUCAUGUAACACACAGUAGGUCAGAUUCUGGGGACAAGAGUGAGGUCUGUCCAGCCUCAAUCCUCAAGGAGGCUCCCUAGUAGGGGAAGGUCAUGAAUAGGUAACUUUACUAUCCCAUGGAUAGAAAUGUCCAAAGCUUGAUGGAGACUCUGAGCCUAGACUUAGUGAUACUUUUAGCCGAGCCGGGAGAUGGGUGAGAGUUCUACAGCAGUUCUCAACACUCCUCGUGUUGCGGUGACCCCCGACCUUAAAGUUAUUUUCUUUGCUACUCCAUAAUUGUAAUUUUGCUUCUGUUAUGAAUCAUAAUGUAAAUAUCUGAUGUCCAGGAUAUCUGAUAUUCGACCCCUAUGAAAGGGUUGUUUGACACACACACCCCCACCAAGAGGUCAGAAGACAGGGCAAGAAGCACUGGUCUAUAGACACAGUAUAUGCUCAGUCCUGAAUGUUGGCUUAGAUGGGAACAAGAGGGGCUGGGUUGUCGGCAUUUACAGGGCCAGUGUUGAGUCCCAUUGUGCAGGCAGAGCUUGGAUCACAGAUGACUUUGCAAGCCAGGCCGAGGAAUUUGGACGUCACCCCAAAUACGGGGAGAAUCUACUGUUGGUUUGAAGUCUUGUAGAAACAUGAAUGAAUUAAAAAAAAGAUUUUUU